GCAGUGGUGGUUCAGUUGUAGAAUUCUCACCUGCUUUUUGGGAGGCCAGGGUUUGACUCCUGGCCAGUGCA
rnacentral:tRNA from 1 species